ensembl:lncRNA PROX1-AS1 PROX1 antisense RNA 1
AGGAGAGAAAAAAAAAAAAGACAACAUUCCUAGUGAUCUUUCCGUGGGAAUGCGGCAAGGAGUCAGCAGGCAUAGUGAAAAUGGGCGGCGAUGGAUACUCCCAGCACUUGCUGAGCACUGCUACGCCUCAGGACUGGGACAGAGAGAACCAUUCUCUGCUUUCAAUAGGACAGAAGAGCUCCUUGGCACUGGAUGCCUCCGGGUCUGGUUGAGAGAGGAAUGGUUAGGAGACUGUUCUGAGGAUACGCAGACAUCAUCCAAAGCUUCCUACAUUCAGAUGAGGACAGAGGUUGGGCCAGAGCUUUGUAAGCUUGUUACCUAAGGAUGGUUCUGACCAUGUAAGCAGAUCACAGAAGCUAUUCACAGAUCAUCAUCAGCCAGAGGUGACUUCUGUUGCUUGCAGCUCAGAAUCCUAGAUGUUUCCGGUGGCACUGAAGAGCCUCUGCUGAAGCUCUAUACCAUUUGCCAUUUACAAAGGGAAAUGAAAUAAUAACGCUGACCAUUUGUGGAGCACAUUCUGUCUGGAGGCAAAGGAUGCCAAGAUGGGAAAGCCACAUAAUGGAAGGAUCCUGGAUUUCAGAGCUGUCACUUGGAGGAGGGGCACCCAGUGAAGGUGUCUUAUCUAACCCACACCAUAUCUUCAUGAAGUGGCCAUAUGGAUUUGAUCCCUAUCCUUCAGAGGUGCUCAGCCUAAGGGAACACGGAUAGUAGAUUAAGCACUGACCAGAGCCAGCCUUGACAAUGUGCUGAUGGCAACCU